GGGGCUGAGACUCAGUGGCAGAGCGUCCGCUUUGCAUGCGGAAGGCCCGGGGUUCGGGAAGGCCCGGGGUUCGAAUCCUCGCAGCUCCA
rnacentral:tRNA from 1 species